rnacentral:rRNA from 1 species
UACGGAGGGGGCAAGCGUUGUUCGGAAUUACUGGGCGUAAAGCGCACGUAGGCGGCUAACCAAGUUGGGGGUGAAAGCCCAGGGCUUAACCCUGGAACUGCCUUCAAGACUGGUUGGCUAGAGGCCGAGAGAGGUAAGGGGAAUUCCUAGUGUAGCGGUGAAAUGCGUAGAUAUCGGGAGGAACACCAGCGGCGAAGGCGGCUUUCUGGACCAAUACUGACGCUGAGACGCGAAAGCGUGGGGAGCAAACA